rnacentral:rRNA from 1 species
UACGUAGGGGCCGAGCGUUGUCCGGAUUCAUUGGGCGUAAAGAGCGUGUAGGCGGCCGCUUAAGUCCUGCGUGAAAUCUCGGAGCUCAACUCCGAGCGGUCGUGGGAAACUGGGCGGCUAGAGUGCGGGAGAGGAGAGUGGAAUUCCUGGUGUAGCGGUGGAAUGCGCAGAUAUCAGGAAGAACACCCGUGGCGAGGGCGGCUCUCUGGAACGCAACUGACGCUGAGACGCGAAAGCGUGGGGAGCAAACAGG